rnacentral:rRNA from 1 species
GAUGAACGCUGGCGGCGUGCCUAAUACAUGCAAGUCGAGCGAACAGACGAGGAGCUUGCUCCUCUGACGUUAGCGGCGGACGGGUGAGUAACACGUGGAUAACCUACCUAUAAGACUGGGAUAACUUCGGGAAACCGGAGCUAAUACCGGAUAAUAUAUUGAACCGCAUGGUUCAAUAGUGAAAGACGGUUUUGCUGUCACUUAUAGAUGGAUCCGCGCCGCAUUAGCUAGUUGGUAAGGUAACGGCUUACCAAGGCAACGAUGCGUAGCCGACCUGAGAGGGUGAUCGGCCACACUGGAACUGAGACACGGUCCAGACUCCUACGGGAGGCAGCAGUAGGGAAUCUUCCGCAAUUGGCGAAAGCCUGACGGAGCAACGCCGCGUGAGGGAUGAAGGUCCUCGGAUCGUAAAACUCUGUUAUUAGGGAAGAACAAAUGUGUAAGUAACUAUGCACGUCUUGACGGUACCUAAUCAGAAAGCCACGGCUAACUACGUG